UACGUAAUCCCCAAGUGGUAUCCACGAAUAUUGGGCCUAAAGCGUUCGUAGCCGGUUGAACAAGUCCUUGGUGAAAAGGGCACGCUUAACGUGUCCAAUGGCUAAGGAUACUGUUCGGCUAAGAGGCUAGUAGAGGUGCAUGGAAUUACGGGGGUAACGGUGAAAUGUUGUGAUCCUCGUAGGACCACCGGUAGCGAAGGCGAUGCACCAGGAUAGACCUGACGGUGAGGAACGAAAGCUGGGGGAGCGACCCGGAUUAGAUACCCGGUUAGUCCCAGCUGUAAACGAUGCAGACUAGGUGUUCGGUUUUCUACGUGAAACCCGAGUGCCGUCGCGAAGGCAUUAAGUCUGCCGCCUGGGAAGUACACUCGCAAGGGUGAAACUUAAAGGAAUUGGCGGGAGCUCACUACAAGGGGUGGAUGCUGCGGUUUAAUCGGAUACAACGCCCAGAAACUCACCCGGGGUGACAGCAGAAUGAUGGUCAGUCUAAAGGGCUUACCUGACACGCUGAGAGGUGCUGUAUGGCCACUUGCAGCUCGUACUGUGAAGCGUCCUGUUAACUCAGGCAACGGGCGAGACCUUCGGAAUUAGUUGCUAGUUUUCUCUACGGAGGAGGCGCACUCUAAUUCGACUGCGGAUGUAAAUCUGAGGAAGGAGAAGGCCACAGUAGGUCUGUAUAGCCCGAAUCUCCGGGGCUACACGCGGCAUACAAUGGUGCAGACAAUGGGUUCCGAGCCCGAAAGGGUAAGGUAAUCCCCUAACCUGCACCGCAGUUCAGAUUGAGGGCUGUAACUCGCCCUCAUGAAUGCCUGGAAUCCCCAGUAAUCGCGCGUCACCAACGCGCGGUGAAUCAGUCCCUGAGCUU
rnacentral:rRNA from 1 species